UUGCUUUGAUGGAUGGCGACCGGCGCACGGGUGAGUAACACGUAUCCAACCUGCCGACAACACUGGGAUAGCCUUUCGAAAGAAAGAUUAAUACCGGAUGGCAUAGUUUUCCCGCAUGGGAUAAUUAUUAAAGAAUUUCGGUUGUCGAUGGGGAUGCGUUCCAUUAGGCAGUUGGCGGGGUAACGGCCCACCAAACCAACGAUGGAUAGGGGUUCUGAGAGGAAGGUCCCCCACAUUGGAACUGAGACACGGUCCAAACUCCUACGGGAGGCAGCAGUGAGGAAUAUUGGUCAAUGGACGAGAGUCUGAACCAGCCAAGUAGCGUGAAGGAUGACUGCCCUAUGGGUUGUAAACUUCUUUUAUACGGGAAUAAAGUGAGCCACGUGUGGCUUUUUGUAUGUACCGUAUGAAUAAGGAUCGGCUAACUCCGUGCCAGCAGCCGCGGUAAUACGGAGGAUCCGAGCGUUAUCCGGAUUUAUUGGGUUUAAAGGGAGCGUAGGCGGGUUGUUAAGUCAGUUGUGAAAGUUUGCGGCUCAACCGUAAAAUUGCAGUUGAUACUGGCGACCUUGAGUGCAACAGAGGUAGGCGGAAUUCGUGGUGUAGCGGUGAAAUGCUUAGAUAUCACGAAGAACUCCGAUUGCGA
rnacentral:rRNA from 1 species